rnacentral:lncRNA from 1 species
CUAUGCACACCGACCUCAGCUGUAGUUCAGAGAAGGGAAAGCUUCUGUCCAAGUUCAUACUGACAAUAGUGGAUGAUUGAGGGGACAGAAAUGUGGUAUUACAGAUCUCUCAUGGCAAGUAAUUCACAGUGACUCCUUAUCUUUGAAGGAACAAAAAGAUAACAUAUGGAAAAAAAUUGUUCCUAGGACUAUGACAGGCUGCUUUCAAAAAUUUCUUUGUAGUCGUUACAGCUAGCUCCCUUUUGUACA